rnacentral:rRNA from 1 species
UACGUAGGGGGCUAGCGUUGUCCGGAAUCACUGGGCGUAAAGCGCACGUAGGCGGCUUUUUAAGUCAGGGGUGAAAUCCUGGAGCUCAACUCCAGAACUGCCUUUGAUACUGAGAAGCUUGAGUCCGGGAGAGGUGAGUGGAACUGCGAGUGUAGAGGUGAAAUUCGUAGAUAUUCGCAAGAACACCAGUGGCGAAGGCGGCUCACUGGCCCGGUACUGACGCUGAGGUGCGAAAGCGUGGGGAGCAAACAGG